GCAGCCGCGGUAAUUCCAGCUCCAAUAGCGUAUAUUAAAGUUGUUGCAGUUAAAAAGCUCGUAGUUGAACCUUGGGCCUGGCUGGCCGGUCCGCCUCACCGCGUGUACUGGUCCGGCCGGGCCUUUCCUUCUGGGGAGCCGCAUGCCCUUCACUGGGCGUGUCGGGGAACCAGGACUUUUACUUUGAAAAAAUUAGAGUGUUCAAAGCAGGCCUUUGCUCGAAUACAUUAGCAUGGAAUAAUAGAAUAGGACGUGUGGUUCUAUUUUGUUGGUUUCUAGGACCGCCGUAAUGAUUAAUAGGGAUAGUCGGGGGCGUCAGUAUUCAAUUGUCAGAGGUGAAAUUCUUGGAUUUAUUGAAGACUAACUACUGCGAAAGCAUUUGCCAAGGAUGUUUUCAUUAAUCAGUGAACGAAAGUUAGGGGAUCGAAG
rnacentral:rRNA from 1 species